UACGCCAGUUGAUAGGCAUAAUAUGUUUUAUAAAAAAAUAACAAUUAAAAAAAACAUUCGGAAAUGUUCGGUCUUUUUUCAAAUUGAAAGUAGGAUUUACAAAUUACAAUAUCAACAUGGAUGUGUUGUUAGCUAUUCAGACAUGUAUCGAACGUUUUGCAUUUUUUCCUUUUAUGGAAUAAAAUCGUUUAUUUUCUAAACAAAUGAAACAUGUUGCUGGAAUUUCUUUUAAAGGUGUUCCGUCCAUUUUGUAAAUUGCAAUCACGUGCCGUUUCUAUCAUCACGUGAUAUUUGUGAAGGCAGUGAUUACUGUACUGCAAGGGAAGUAACACUGCGCGGAGUUUGAAAUAAAUAGUCUUAUUCCUGAAGACCAUAACGCUUUUUGACAAAGGUGACUUCCGGUUUAUUUCCUAGUUAUCGAUACGAGUGAAAGGAAGAGCAUAGUUGGCAAAAUAGAUUGAUAGUUUCCAUCUCAUCAACGGAUGAGGACAAAAGACUCCAGAGCAUGCAAGUCGGCAUACAUGUAGCCAGGCAAAGAAUUGUCAUAACUUCUUAAGUGAUCAUUGUCUGCCAUUCUCCCCUGCAGCAGAUUUAUCUAGAGGUGUGAUGUCUCAACAAAAGUACUGGGUUACCUGACCAUCUAUUAUGCUGCUUUUCAUGAGGAAAAGCUCAAAUACAGGUUCCACGUUUUGAGCCAUGAUGUGCCCAGGCAAUACAGCAGAAGUCAAAGACAACCAAUGAACAGAAAGACAGCAUCAUUGACGCUCUGUUUACCAAAAAACCAUACUAUCAUUGUCAAGCUGAAUCUCCGUCUUUGACUUCUAUCAGUCCGCCAGGAAUAUAUGAAGACAGUUCAAACAGAGGCUCGACAGAUCCAUAUCAAGAUGUUUAUAAAGCCUGACAAUUUUAAAGCCAGACAAGGACCUAGCAACUGGAAAACAUGCCCUUAAUUCCAAUGAUUAAUAUAUACAUAUGACUAUAUAGUUAUUUUACUACAAUUUUAUAUUUUGUUUGUUUGUCAAUAUUGCAAUAUUGAUAUAGUUCACUUCCACUAAAUGAAAAAAAUAUAA